rnacentral:ribozyme from 13 species
AAAGAGAAAGAGAAAGAGAAAGAGAAAGAGAAGAAAGGAAAAAGUUUGUUUUUGUUGUUUGUGUGCUUUGUUCAAAGAAGAUGAUGAUAUCUUUGACUCGAUUGGGAUCUACUCCACUUCUUUGCUCUGCUCUUUCGGUUGCUCCUACUUCCCAAAGAUAUUUUGGAGGAAGUACGAUGGAAGAUAUGAUCAACCAAAAGAAAAAGAGAGA